GCUGCUCUGCCUAUAGGGUAGCCAUUCUUUAUUGCUUUACUUUCUUAAAACUUGCUUUCACUUUCCUCUAUGAGCUCACCCCAAAUUCUUUCUUGUGCAAGAUCCAAGAACCCUGUCUUGGGGUCUGGAUCAGGACCCCUUUCUGGUAACAAUACCAAGAGGGAAUACUAAUUAAAAAACUAGUUUAAAGUUAAGAUAACUUACACUAAAAUAAACCAAAGAUUCUUGUAUACUGGUAAUAGCACUGUGUGGAAUUACAAAUCCAUACCCAAACAAUCUACCUGACAAAGUAAGAUCAUAUAAUUUAACCAGAUUAAGUAUUUUUGCAUCUACUAUGCUGAGCAACCAGAACUAGGUAGGCACUAUUGCUAUGAAUUUUCCUAGUAUUUGUUUAAAAAAAUUCACUAUAGACCUGGUAAACAAUCAAUUACAAUCCCAUCUGAUAUAGUUGUGACCCUGUCCUCAGUUUGUAAUGCUUCUAGCUAACAUUUACAGUGAACCCAUUUUGUGAUAGGAACUGAUCUAAGUACUGUCAGGCCUCUGAGCCCAAGUCAAACCAUCGCAUCCCCUGUGACUUGCAUGUAUACGCCCAGAUGGCCUGAAGUAACUGAAGAAUCACAAAAGAAGUGAAAAGGCCCUGCCCCGCCUUAACUGAUGACAUUCCACCAUUGUGAUUUGUUCCUGCCCCACCUUAACUGAGUGAUUAACCCUGUGAAUUUCCUUCUCCUGGCUCAGAAGCUCCCCCACUGAGCACCUUGUGACCCCCGCCCCUGCCCACCAGAGAACAACCCCCUUUGACUGUAAUUUUCCAUUACCUUCCCAAAUCCUAUAUAAGACGGCCCCACCCUUAUCUCCCUUCGCUGACUCUCUUUUCGGACUCAGCCCACCUGCACCCAGGUGAAAUAAACAGCUUUAUUGCUCACACAAAGCCUGUUUGGUGGUCUCUUCACACAGAGGCGCAUGAAAUUUGGUGCCGUGACUCGGAUCAGGGGACCUCCCUUGGGAGAUCAAUCCCCCAUCCUCCUGCUCUUUGCUCUAUGAGAAAGAUCCACCUACGACCUCAGGUCCUCAGACCAACCAGCCCAAGAAACAUCUCACCAAUUUCAAAUCUGGUAAGCGGCCUCUUUUUACUCUCUUCUCCAACCUCCCUCACUAUCCCUCAACUUCUUUCUCCUUUCAAUCUUGGCACCACACUUCAAUCUCUCCCUUCUCUUAAUUUCAAUUCCUUUCAUUUUCCGGUAGAGACAAAGGAGACAUGUUUUAUCCGUGGACCCAAAACUCCGGCGCCGGUCACGGACUGGGAAAGCAGCCUUCCUUUGGUGUUUAAUCAUUGCAGGGAUGUCUCUCUGAUUAUUCACCCACGUUUCAAAGGUAUCAGACCACGCAGGGACGCCUGCCUUGGUCCUUCACCCUUAGCGGCAAGUCCCACUUUUCUGGGGAAGGGGCAAGUACCCCAACCCCUUUUCUCCUUGUCUCUACCCCUUCUCUGCUUUUCUGGGGAAGGGGCAAGUACCCCAACCCCUUCUCUCCUUGUCUCUACCCCUUCUCUGCUUUUCUGGGGAAGGGGCAAGUACUCCAACCCCUUCUCUCCUUGUCUCUACCCCUUCUCUGCUUUUCUGGGGAAGGGGCAAGUACCCCAACCCCUUCUCUCCUUGUCUCUACCCCUUCUCUGCUUUUCUGGGAGAGGGGCAAGUACCCCUCAAACCCUUCUCCUUCACCCUUAGUGGCAAGUCCCGCUUUCCUGGGGCAGGGUCAAGUACCCCUCAACCCCUUCUCCUUCACCUUUAGCGGCAAGUCCCGCUUUUCUGGGGGAGGAGCAAGUACCCCUCAACCCCUUCUCCUUCACCCUUAGUGACAAGUCCUGCUUUUCUAGGGGGCAAGAACCCCCAAUACCUUAUUUCCACACCCCAACCUCUUAUCUCUGUGCCCCUAUCCCUUAUUUCCGUGCCCCAAACCCCCUUCCCGCUUUUCAGGAGGGUAAGAACCCCUGAACCCCUUCCCUCCAUGUCUCUACGCUCUCUUUUCUCUGGGUUUGCCUCCUUCACUAUGGGCAACCUUCCACCCUCCAUUUCUCCUUCUUCUCCCUUAGCCUGUGUUCUCAAAAACUUAAAACCUCUUCAACUCACACCUGACCUAAAACCUAAAUGCUUAUUUUCUUCUGCAAUGCCGCUUGACCCCAAUACAAACUCGACAGUAGUUCCAAAUAGCCAGAAAAUGGCACUUUGAAUUUUUCCAUCCUGCAAGAUCUAAAUAAUUCUUGUCGUAAAAUAGGCAAAUGGUCUGAGGUGCCUGACGUCCAGGCAUUCUUUUACACAUCAGUCCCUUCCUAGUCUCUGUGCCCAGUGCAACUCGUCCCAAAUCUUCCUUCUUUCCCUCCCACCUGUCCCCUCAGUACCAACCCCAAGCGUCGCUUAGUCUUUCUAAUCUUCCAUUUCUACAGACCCAUCUGACCUCUCCCUUCCUCCCAAGGCUGCUCCUCUCCGGGCCGAGCUAGGUCCCAAUUCUUCCUCAGCCUCUGCUUCUCCACCCUAUAAUCUUUUUAUCACCUCCCCUCCUCACACCUGGUCCGGCUUACAGUUUCGUUCCGUGACUAGCCCUCCCCGACCUGCCCAGCAACUUACUCUUAAAAAGGUGGCUGGAGCCAAAGGCAUAGUCAAGGUUAAUGCUCCUUUUUCUUUAUCCCAAAUCAGAAGCAUUUAGGCUCUUUUUCAUCAAAUAUAAAAAUCCAGCCCAGUUCAUGGCUCGUUUGGCAGCAACCCUGAGAUGCUUUACAGCCCUAGACCCUAAAAGGUCUAAAGGCCGUCUUAUUCUCAAUAUACAUUUUAUUACCCAAUCUGCUCCCGACAUUAAAUAAAACUCCGAAAAUUGGAAUCUGGCCCUCAAUCCCCACAACAGGACUUAAUUAACCUCAUCUUCAAGGUGUACAAUAACAGAAAAAAGUUGCAAUUCCUUGCCUCCACUCUGAGACAAACCCCAGCCACAUCUCCAGCACACAAGAACUUCCAAAUGCCUGAACCACAGCAGCCAGGCUUUCCUCCAGAACCUCCUCCCCCAGGAGCUUGCUACAUGUGCCGGAAAUCUGGCCACUGGGCCAAGGAAUGCCCGCAGCCCAGGAUUCCUCCUAAGCCGCGUCCCAUCUGUGUGGGACCCCACUGAAAAUCGGACUGUUCAUCUCACCUGGCAGCCACUCCCAGAGCCCCUGGACCUCUGGCCCAAGGCUCUCUGACUGACUCCUUCCCAGAUCUUCUUGGCUUAGCGGCUGAAGACUGACACUACCCGAUCGCCUCGGAAGCCCCCUGGACCAUCACGGAUGCCGAGCUUCCGGUAACUCUCAGAGUGGAAGGUAAGCCCGUCCCCUUCUUAAUCAAUAUGGAGGCUACCCACUCCACAUUACCUUCUUUUCAAGGGCCUGUUUCCCUUGCCUCCAUAACUGUUGUGGGUAUUGACGGCCAGGCUUCUAAACCUCUUAAAACUCCCCAACCCUCGUGCCAACUUAGACAAUACUCUUUUAAGCACUCCUUUUAGUUAUCCCCACCUGCCCAGUUCCCUUAUUAGGCUGAGACACUUUAACUAAAUUAUCUGCUUCCCUGACUAUUCCUGCACUACAGCUGUAUCUCAUUGCCGCCCUUCUUCCCAAUCCAAAGCCUCCUUUGCGUCCUCCUCUUGUAUCCCCCACCUUAACCCACAAGUAUAAGAUACCUCUACUCCCUCCUUGGCGACCGAUCAUGCACCCCUUACCAUCUCAUUAAAACCUAAUCACCCUUACCCCACUCAACGCCAAUAUCCCAUCCCGCAGCACGCUUUAAAAAGAUUAAAUCCUGUUAUCACUCACCUGCUACAGCAUGGCCUUUUAAGGCCUAUAAAAUCUCCUUACAAUUCCCCCAUUUUACCUGUCCUAAAACCAGACAAGCCUUACAAGUUAGUUCAGGAUCUUCACCUUAUCAACCAAAUUGUUUUGCCUAUCCACCCUGUGGUGCCAAAACCAUAUACUCUCCUAUCCUCAAUACCUGCCUCUACAACCCAUUAUUCUGUUCUAGAUCUCAAACAUGCUUUCUUUACUAUUCCUUUGCAUCCUUAAUCCCAGCCACUCUUUGCUUUCACUUGGACUGACCCUGACACCCAUCAAGCUCAGCAAAUUACCUAGGCUGUACUGCCGCAAAGCUUCACAGGCAGCCCCCAUUACUUCAAUCAAGCCCAAAUUUCUUCCUCAUUUGUUACCUAUCUCGGCAUAAUUCUCAUAAAAACACACGUGCUCUCCCUGCCAAUCGUGACCGACUGAUCUCUCAAACCCCAGAACCUUCUACAAAACAACAACUCCUUUCCUUCCUAGGCAUGGUUAGUGCGGUCAGAAUUCUUACACAAGAGCCAGGACUGCACCCUGUAGGCUUUCUGUCCAAACAACUUGACCUUACUGUUUUAGCCUAGCCCUCAUGUCUGCGUGCAGCGGCUGCCACUGCUUUAAUACUGUUAGAGGCCCUAAAAAUCACAAACUAUGCUCAACUCACUCUCUACAUUUCUCAUAACUUCCAAAAUCUAUUUUCUUCCUCAUACCUGAUGCAUAUACUUUCUUCUCCCCGGCUCCUUCAGCUGUACUCACUCUUUAGGUCUCACAAUUACCAUUGUUCCUGGCCCGGACUUCAAUCUGGCCUCUCACAUUAUUCCUGAUAUCACACCUGACCCCCAUGACUGUAUCUCUCUGAUCCACCUGAUAUUCACCCCAUUUCCCCAUAUUUCCUUCUUUCCUGUUCCUCACCCUGAUCACGCUUGAUUUAUUGAUGGCAGUUCCACCAGGCCUAAUCGCCACACACCAGCAAAGUCAGGCUAUGCUAUAGUACAAGCCACUAGCCCGCCUCUCAGAACCUCUCAUUUCCUUUCCAUCCUGGAAAUCUAUCCUCAAGGAAAUAACUUCUCAGUGUUCCAUCUGCUAUUCUACUACUCCUCAGGGAUUAUUCAGGCCCCCUCCCUUCCCUACACAUCAAGCUCGAGGAUUUGCCCCCACCCAGGACUGGCAAAUUAGCUUUACUCAACAUGCCCGAGUCAGGAAACUAAAAUACCUCUUAGUCUAAAUAGACACUUUCAACUGAAUAAGUAAAGACCUUUCCUACAGGGUCUGAGAAGGCCACCGCAGUCAUUUCUUCCCAUCUGUCAGACAUAAUUCCUCAGUUUAGCCUUCCCACCUCUAUACAGUCUGAUAACAGACCAGCCUUUAUUAGUCAAAUCAGCCAAGCAGUUUUUCAGGCUCUUAGUAUUCAGUGAAACCUUUAUAUCCCUUACAGUCCUCCAUCUUCAAGAAAAGUAGAACGGACUAAAGGUCUUUUAAAAACACACCUCACCAAGCUCAACCACCAACUUAAAAAGGACUGGACAAUGCUUUUAUCACUUUCGCUUCUCAGAAUUCAGGCCUGUCCUCAGAAUGUUACACAAGGUACAGUCCAUUUAAGCUCCUGUAUAGACGCUCCUUUUUAUUAGGCCCCAGUCUCAUUCGACACCAGACCAACUUAGACUGUGCCCCCAAAAUCUUGUCAUCCCUACUAUCUUUUGUCUAGUCAUACUCCUAUUCACCAUUCUCAACUACUCAUACACACCCUGCUCUUGUUUACACUGCCGGUUUACACUGUUUCUCCAAGCCAUCACAGCUGAUGUCUCUUGGUGCUAUCCCCAAACUGCCACUCUAAGCUCUUAAAGUAAAUAAAUAAUCUUUGCUGGCAGGACUAUGCUGAAUCUCCUUAGGCACUCUCUAAUCAGAUGUCCUAGGUCCUCCCAAUUCUUAGACCUUUUAUACCUGUUUUUCUCCUUCUGUUAUUCCAUUUAGUUUCUUAGUUCAUCCAAAACGGUAUCCAGGCCAUCACCAAUCAUUCUAUACGACAAAUGUUUCUUCUAACAACCCCACAAUAUCACCCCUUACCACAAGACCUCCCUUCAGCUUAAUCUCUCCCACUCUAGGUUCCCACGCCGCCCCUAAUCCCGCUUGAAGCAGCCCUGAGAAACAUCGCCCAUUCUCUCUCCAUACCACCCCCCAAAAUUUUCGCCGCCCCAACACUUCAACACUAUUUUGUUUUAUUUUUCUUAUUAAUAUAAGAAGGCAGGAAUGUCAGGCCUCUGAGCCCAAGCCAAGCCAUCGCAUCCCCUGUGACUUGCAUGUAUACGCUCAGAUGGCCUGAAGUAACUGAAGAAUCACAAAAGAAGUGAAAAGGCCCUGCCCCGCCUUAACUGAUGACAUUCCACCAUUGUGAUUUGUUCCUGCCCCACCUUAACUGAGUGAUUAACCCUGUGAAUUUCCUUCUCCUGGCUCAGAAGCUCCCCCACUGAGCACCUUGUGACCCCCGCCCCUGCCCACCAGAGAACAACCCCCUUUGACUAAUUUUCCAUUACCUUCCCAAAUCCUAUAAGAUGGCCCCACCCUUAUCUCCCUUCGCUGACUCUCUUUUCGGACUCAGCCCACCUGCACCCAGGUGAAAUAAAUAGCUUUAUUGCUCACACAAAGCCUGUUUGGUGGUCUCUUCACACGGAC
rnacentral:lncRNA from 1 species